rnacentral:lncRNA from 1 species
GCUGAUCUCAAAACACAAUAGGCCGACAGACCAGAAUUCUACUACUGAAAAGACCACUUAAUUUCAAAAGUAAAAAUAGCAACUACCGAACCUCGUGCAGUCAACACGUUAUUAAAUUCUCGGUGGGAUGGGAAACUUUCGGAUAUGACAAUGUGAAGCGUCCCUUAUGGUUCUUUAAAAUGGACUUGGUUCUACCUUGUCUGGACUGGGAACCCAAGCGCAAGACAAAGACAGCGGCAGGGGAAAGUCAAAAGGUCAGCGCCAGGCGCCCCUCUCAAGGCGCGGUCCGCAGGCCCGCGCACUAGCGGCCACCCGGCUCUUCUGGGCGUCGCGGCACUCACGUCCGCACAAAGAAACCGCCCACAGUCAAAACACGCUCCCGGUGGGUGCGGGAGACGUAUGCACGGUCGCGUCGGCCCGACCUCCGCGGGAACACCUCGGAACUUGCCGCCCUCCCGCUCCAUUCCCCCCGCGCGACGUUGAAGCCGGCCGCAGCGGUGAAGCCAGGUCGCCUGGAGUGGACCACGCCCCCCGCUGCCCCCGCCGCCCGCGCUAUUGUUCCCGCGCCACCCCCGCCCCGCGCGCGUUCCCGGGAGGGGGUCACGGCCGGGGAAAGGCGGCGGCCG